rnacentral:rRNA from 1 species
CGAAAGCCUGACGGAGCAAUACCGCUUGCGGGACGAAGGCUUUUGGGUCGUAAACCGCUUUUGUUAGGGAAGAACACAAUGACGGUACCUAACGAAUCAGCAUCGGCUAACUCCGUGCCAGCAGCCGCGGUAAUACGGAGGAUGCAAGCGUUAUCCGGAAUUAUUGGGCGUAAAGCGUCCGCAGGUGGUUUAUCAAGUNUGCUGUUAAAGGAUGGGGCUUAACCCCAUAUCGGCAGUGGAAACUGAGAGACUAGAGUACGGUAGGGGUAGCGGGAAUUCCCAGUGUAGCGGUGAAAUGNGUAGAUAUUGGGAAGAACACCAGCGGCGAAGGCGCGCUACUGGGCCGAAACUGACACUGAUGGACGAAAGCUAGGGGAGCGAAAGNGAUUAGAUACCCCUGUAGUC